rnacentral:sRNA from 1 species
GACACGUGUAUCAAAGAGGACCAGGCGAUUUUGGAGAAGGAAAAUGUGAACUCGCCACGCCAAUUUCUUUUUAUCGAUGACGGACAAUCGCCAAAGUGGAGGGAAAAUGAUCUCGAAGGAAAAGGAAUUCUUAUGAGCUUCGGAAAUCGAUUGAAGAAUCUGACAAACGGAUAUGAGACUGUGAGACUUUUUUUACGGGUCUCGACGCGAUUUCCCACGGAUUUCGGGCUUCCCUCAUAAAUUGAAAUGGAAGAGUUUUUGCCGAACUAGGCCCCGGCCAUAUCUGGGGUAGAUUUACGGCGCGUUGCGUGUCGCGUCGCGGCUCGAUUUUAGUUGUAAAACUGAAUGUAUUUGUCCGUGUGGAGUACACGGGCGAUUGCCAAUGGAGCGCGAAAAAUUCAAUUUGUGUCUCGUAACGAUUUUAUCGAUUCUUUUUCAGGGUGCCGAACAAGCUCUGCGUGUCCUUGAAUUCAACAAUACGGAACACUUUCUUGUGAUCAAUUUUUGGAUGAGAAGCUACUAUUUCAUGAAAAACGGUGAUAAAUAUCAGCUGUCAUACACCGGAACCACCAUCAAACCCGAUUUGAAUCACUUUAUUCGGUUAGCAGGCUUGGAGAUGCAAUAUCGCUCCAUCGCAACCAUUUUUUCAGCGUAUACUUCAUCUGCGCUCCAGCGAACAGUCAGAGUGCGUUGAUCGUGUUUGGGGAUCAGUCGAAACCGCGAGUUUUAAAGUCGAAAAAAUCGAAGAGGGAAGCAGCGCUGAUUGAUGAGAAUUCGGGGAAGAAGCUGAAAAAGUGCCAGAAAAUUCGGACGAAAAGAGCGGCGGCGGUGAAUAACUCGACGGAGUGGACACAGACGCUGAAGGAUACUCGGAGACUUAAACAACGUAGCGAGUGAGUUUGUGCCAAACGAUACUCCGAUGUUCCGCUUCCGCUGAGGACACCGCGUCGUUUGAUCUCUGAAAAUUGCGAGAGUCAGCCUCGUGUAAGUUUACCGCAAAUUUGGAGGUCAAGCAGCGAGGUCCUCAUAUUUUGAAAUGGAAGAGCUUGCCGAAUUCGGAGUCGAUUUACGGCGCGUUGCGUUGCGUGUCGCGUCGCGGCUCGUGAUUUUCGCAUAUUUAUCGACACUUGCGUACGCCAGGUAUCGAUUCAGAUUCC